rnacentral:rRNA from 1 species
AUGGAGCUGGACAAUUAUUACGAAACAAUCCACAAGAGGGACAUAUUUAUGUUCUUGUUUGGACUAGCCGCGGGUUUCAUGUUCGGCGUGUCUUUUAUGCUGGAUAACCCUGCAACCGACUACUACUCUGUCAAUCUCACCGGCGUCACCGCUUCGUCAACGACCUCGCCGCCGGCGCUCAACUUUACUCCCCACGUCGAGAACAAAGGUUUGGUGUUCGAAAACUGCUUCAGCCACGGGCAAGCGGCCGUGUCGUACGCCGGCGUUGUCAUCGGAGAAGGGCCUGUGCCGGGCGUGUGCGCAGAGCCGGGAAGGAAGGGAACCGCGGAGGUGACGGCCCUGGCGCACGGCGGCGGCGGAGGAGCGCCGCUGUCGGACAGCCAGAGGAAGCGCCUGGAGUCCGAGAUGCGGUCGGGAUCUGCAGAGUUUGACGUGGAAGCCAAGCUGUUCCGCGAUGGCCACAUAAGGGGCCCCGUCGUGCUGUGGUGCAAACUCGGACUGCAAGAGUUGCAGCAGCCUUCGGAUUGCAAGUCUUUCACUGAUUUGGGACGCAGGGCCAUGGAGCAAUUUUGGAUAUGA